rnacentral:rRNA from 1 species
UACGUAGGGUGCGAGCGUUAAUCGGAAUACUGGGCGUAAAGCGUGCGCAGGCGGUCUGUUAAGACAGAUGUGAAAUCCCCGGGCUUAACCUGGGAACUGCAUUUGUGACUGGCAGGCUAGAGUAUGGCAGAGGGGGGUAGAAUUCCACGUGUAGCAGUGAAAUGCGUAGAGAUGUGGAGGAAUACCGAUGGCGAAGGCAGCCCCCUGGGCCGAAUACUGACGCUCAUGCACGAA